CGUUCUUUUUCCUCUCGCGGUCCCCAGGAGCCCAGGCACCCCUCGACGCCGCUGCCGGCGGAACCGGGAACCCUCCCCGGGGCUCCCUGCGGGCCCGAAGCCGCCUUCCCGAGGCGGCGGAGUUGGGCAGCUCCGGGCCCCGCGCCGCCCCGCGCCGCCCCGCGGAGCCGGAGUUUCUCUCCGGAGUCUGGACACAGCUCUCCGCUUCGUCGCCGCGCACUGGACCCCGGUAGCGUGGAGCCUGCCCGGGAAGCUGGGCUGCGCCGGCCUGGGGCGAAGGUCCAAGGGGCGCGGGGGCCGGGACGCGGGGCUGUGGCGACGACCGGCCCUCUGCGAACGCUCAGGCCGGCGGGUCCGGGGCCACAGGCUGGGAGUGGAGCUGGCGGCCACUGGGGAGUAGAGAGGACGCCCAGGAACAGGUGCACCAGGGUCCCGGCGGCUGGGCCGAGGGUCGCAAGCAGAGGGGACCGGCGGCUGCCAGCAAGUCCCAAGCAGAUGCCUCCGGCGGGGCAGCCGCAUUUUACAGCGCCCAUUCCGCGUACAUCGAGUAUCCAAAACGAGUAAAAUCGGUUUAUACGUUGGAAUGUAGCUUAUGAUUCCAAAAUCUCAUCUCCAGGCUGCCUAGAUCACACGGCCCCGUUUCAUUCAUUUUUACUGAAUAACGGUCGUUGGACAAUUUAGAGAAGCAGCAGAAACCACGAGAAAAACAGUGGAGUCAAACGGCGAUUUCCUCAAUCCUCUUUUUUUGUUUCCCUUGCAUUUUUUAUGGGAGAAACUGAACGGUUUGUUCUGAAGAAGUUGACAUUCUGGACUUUGUAGCUGCAGGUAAUAGUUUUUUGGCAAGAUAUUCCCAGGGAUAAGGUCGUUUAUUCAGACUUUUGAAUAUUGGCAAAUAAUAAUAUUGUUUGUAGAGGGAGAAGGAUUAGUCAAGAUAUUUUGAAGAAUCAACUAUUGAAAAAACAAAUUUUUAUCAGAGUAAGCAUGGAUCUGGUAAAGAUUAUGUGAAAUUUUCCUAAAUGCAAAUACAAUCUAAAAUUGUAAUGUCUUACAAUUAAAAAAUAGAUUAUUUUCCAUAUAUUUAUAGAAAUAUAAAUGAUCAAUCAACUAUUUCAUUGACAAUUUUAAAUCUAGUUUUGUCUUGAGGAGAAUAAAGUUUUUUAUAUCUUUAGUAUUUUAGUUGAAGAUCCAAAGACAUUUUAUGUUAAAACUUUAGGUUUUAUAUUGUUUUAUGUUUUAAAACAUAAAAUCUAAAAUGUGGUAAUAUCCAUGAGGUGCAGAGAGAGUAAUAGCACAAAUUCUGUGUUCAUGAAAAUUCAUUUUAGGAUAACUUAAUUAAAAGGACUCAGGAUUUGAAUGAUAUUAGAUUAGACAGAAAAAAGUUCACUUGAGUGUAAGACAUAAGUAAUAAAAACCAAAGGUAGCUAACUUUUGUAGGCUUCUUCUUUCUUUAACGAGUAUGCAUAUGAAAUAAAAUUUCCAUGUCUAUGUCCAUUUUUCCAAGGUACAUGGGCUUCUACAAUUUCGUCUAUUUCAUCCUGCAGUUAUUUUCACGGGUCUCUGUGUCCACCACUAUCUGGAAUCUCUGAGAUGGUGAAAACGAAAUCUUAUUCUUCUUUAUAUUUCAAACAAUUCCUAGCACAUUAUCAAAAAUACCUGAUAAAAUUUAUUGUGUCUGUAAUACUGGUAAGCAUGUAAAAUGGUGGUAAAUAUAUAGGCUUUAAGUUUAGAUAGUUCUAAAUAUUAUUAAAAUUACCAAAUUAUUGUUUUUAAAAAGUAUUAGUUUCCUAGGACAAAUAGAGAUUUUUAGAUAAGGCUGGAUUUGUAAUACUUUAAGCAACAGGUCACAGUGCUUAAGUAUUUAAUGCCGAUUUGGCAAGCAGCUGAUGUUUUAUAUAAUGCUGUCGGGUAUUUUAUAUUUGCGUGUAUUUUCUGAUGCACUGGAUCCAGCACUUCAUGUCACGUCAUAUAUCUGUUUAUAAUGUAUACAAAUGUAUUUUCAUAUAUAUUUGAUGUUUGAUGGCUUUGAAACUUUAAUCUUGAAAUAGGUUUUAAAUUUUUAUUAAAACUAUUUAAAUAAUUACUGUAAGGAAAGAGCUCUUAUUAGUUGAAAGAAAAUGUAGAUUCAUGUUUCCUUGGAGACUAGUCUAGUUUCCAAGGAUAGACGGCAGUGAGGAGUCGGGUAUCUAGAUGGAAUUUCUGUUGGUUUGGAUUCCAGCUCUGCUGCUUACCAGCUUUGUGACCUCAGGCAAACAACUUAACCUCUCCAAGCCUCAAUUUCCCCAUCUAUAUAAUGGUGAUAUUUAUAAGUUUCACCUUAUAGGGCCACGGUGGGGAUUCCAUGAAAUAGUGUAUGUGAAGUGCUUAGCACAGUGCCUGGCACAUACUCAAUGCUCUAUGCAUGUCAGCUAGUACUUAAUGAUGCUAAUAAACAUGUUAUGUCCCUAAGCACGGGUGGGAUCUUGCCUGACGUCCUUCUCUCUGCGUCCUGGUCAGUCUUCACAUGGUGGGCAUCCUUUAUUUCCGGUCACACACGGGUGGUACACAGAGCAUGCUGUUUCUUUCGUGCCAGAAGGUUCCCGCUGCAGCUCUCCUGCUAGUUUAGCUUAGCCUUCUGGUUUGAGGGAUGAGUCACAUGUACCAUCACUUCCCAGGACCAACAGGACCUUUCAGGAAAGCUAUCCCCUGCUUACACAGAGAAUUGCCCUUGCCUAACACUGAAGCCUGGCAGAGUAACAUGAAAUAACCACAGCAAUUCUAAAAUUAGAAUUAGCACGCCUAGAAUAACAGGCGCUGUUGUAGGAGCAAGGUAUACAAUGAUGAUCAAGGCAGAUGCAGCCCUUACCUUCAGGUCGUGGAGUCCGGAUACAGACUGGAGGCAGAGGCAGCUGUAAGAUGUGUGACAAAUGCUGCGCUGGAUCAGCCCAUGGUAUUAGGAGAGCAGCCUCCCAAAGUGCUGGGAUUGCAGGUGCGAGCCACCGGGUCCAGCCUCUCAGGCGAUUUUCAUACCUGCAUACUCUGAUCACUACGCUGUUAAACAGUCAAGGAGGGUAAGUAUUAUCUUCAGAUUUCCAGAGCUCUGUCUCUGUACAGCCCUCUCCUCCUCAAUAUUCUGCCCUAUGAAUUCUAGCCACAUUGGCCUUCCCAGACUCACAGUUCUGUCUUCUCAACUCAGGAAGAUCUCUGAGCUCCAUCUGCAUUCUUUCUUCCUGUGCUGUGGCUUGGAAAGUUUUCUAAGGUGUUUGGGAGGUCAAUUGUGGGGCUAGCCUCAUUUGUUUCUCAUCUCUUGAGGAUCACUGCCCUUUGAUGCUUGAUUCCAGUGAUUGAUUCCCUUUGUUGCUUGAGGGCCAUAGUUUCAUAUAUUUUGUCCAGUAUUUUUGUUGUUUUAGGUCAGAAAGUAAUUUUGGUCUCUGUUACUCCAUCUUGGCCAGAAGUGUAAGACCUAAGCAUUUACACAUCAAAAUACUGCACACAUAAUUUUAGUUUAAGCUACUUUUAAAAAAAUCUGCUUCAUUUUCCAUUAAGCAUUCUAUUUAGGGUAUUACAUUGUUUUUUUUGAAAUUCUGUUAUUGGCAGUUUCUAUUGCCUAUCAAUCCCAUUUAAAGAUAGUGCAUAGGGUAUUCUAAAAUAGCUGUUAAGCAAAGAGAAAAUUGGGCCUGAUAGGGUGAGAAUCACAGCUCUAAUACCUAGAGUGACCUUAUAAUGUAUUGUCCAAAGGAGAUAUUUUUGACAGUGAAAGAGGGUGUUGUUAGUAAUUAUAUCAGGACCAUGGCCUAAACCAGGACUAUCCCAGGCAGCCUGGGACAUAUUUGUACCCCAUCUCUAUUUAAUGCCUUUAUACAAUUCUUAAUUCUACCAGCCUUUAUUGAGCCUGCUUUCUUUGUCUAGCUGAGUGCCACGUGCUGACAUCACUAAGAUCAAUACAGCAAACUCUGAAAGAUGGACGGAGAGACAGGAGAUGGUCCUUUAUAAUGCAGUGUGAUCUGUGCUGCAAUAGAGUUUUGGAAGCUAGAAGUUCAAAACGAGGUGUUGGCAGCACCAUGCUCUCUCUGAAGAUGCUAGGAAGAAUCUGCUCCAUGCCUUUCCAUUCGCUUCUGGGGUUUCCUGCAAGCCCUGACAUUCCUUGGCUUGUAGAUACACCACCCCAGUUUCCGCCCCCAUCAUCACAUGGCCUCCUCUCUGUGUGUGCCUCUGCGUUCCCUCUAUUCUUCUUCUAAGGACACCGACACCAGUCAUAGUGGAUUAAGGGUCCACUCCUAACCAAUUACAUCUGCAACAACCCUAUUUCCAAAUAAAGUCACAUUCUAAGA
rnacentral:lncRNA from 1 species